GAUGAACGCUGGCGGCACGCUUAACACAUGCAAGUCGAACGGGGUCCAUGGAGCUUGCUCCGGAAGACUUAGUGGCGAACGGGUGCGUAACACGUGAGAAAUCUGCCCCGAACUUCGGAAUAACAGUUGGAAACGGCUGCUAAUACCGGAUGCCUUCAUUUGACCGCAUGGUUGUUUGAAGAAAGAUUUAUCGGUUUGGGAGGGUCUCGCGGCCUAUCAGCUUGUUGGAGAGGUAACGGCUCACCAAGGCUUCGACGGGUAGCUGGUCUGAGAGGAUGAUCAGCCACACUGGAACUGAGACACGGUCCAGACUCCUACGGGAGGCAGCAGUGGGGAAUCUUGCACAAUGGGCGCAAGCCUGAUGCAGCGAUGCCGCGUGCGGGAAGAAGGCCUUAGGGUUGUAAACCGCUUUCAGGAGGGAAGAAAAUGACGGUACCUCCAGAAGAAGGUGCGGCCAACUACGUGCCAGCAGCCGCGGUGACACGUAGGCACCAAGCGUUAUCCGGAUUUAUUGGGCGUAAAGAGCUCGUAGGCGGUUUGGUAAGUCGGGUGUGAAAACUCUGGGCUCAACCCAGAGAGGCCACUCGAUACUGCUAUGACUAGAGUACGGUAGGGGAGCGGGGAAUUCCUGGUGUAGCGGUGAAAUGCGCAGAUAUCAGGAGGAACACCAGCGGCGAAGGCGCCGCUCUGGGCCGUAACUGACGCUGAGGAGCGAAAGCAUGGGUAGCAAACAGGAUUAGAUACCCUGGUAGUCCAUGCCGUAAACGUUGGGCACUAGGUGUGGGCCUCAACCAACGAGAUCCGCGCCGUCGCUAACGCAUUAAGUGCCCCGCCUGGGGAGUACGGUCGCAAGACUAAAACUCAAAGGAAUUGACGGGGGCCCGCACAAGCAGCGGAGCGUGUUGCUUAAUUCGAUGCAACGCGAAGAACCUUACCUGGGUUUGACAUGUACCGAAAAGCUCUAGAGAUAGGG
rnacentral:rRNA from 1 species